GCAGAACGCGAAGAACCUUACCAGGCCUUGACAUGCAGAGAACUUUCCAGAGAUGGAUUGGUGCCUUCGGGAACUCUGACACAGGUGCUGCAUGGCUGUCGUCAGCUCGUGUCGUGAGAUGUUGGGUUAAGUCCCGUAACGAGCGCAACCCUGUCCUUAGUUACCAGCACGUUAUGGUGGGCACUCUAAGGAGACUGCCGGUGACAAACCGGAGGAAGGUGGGAGUGACGUCGAAGUCAUCAUGGCCCUUACGGCCUGGGCUACACACGUGCUACAAUGGUCGGUACAGAGGGUUGCCAAGCCGCGAGGUGGAGCUAAUCUCACAAAACCGAUCGUAGUCCGGAUCGCAGUCUGCAACUCGACUGCGUGAAGUCGGAAUCGCUAGUAAUCGCGAAUCAGAAUGUCGCGGUGAAUACGUUU
rnacentral:rRNA from 1 species